UCGCCUCACUAAUUGCCUCACCAAGCCGC
rnacentral:sRNA from 1 species